CUUAGUUUGUUUAACUCUGAUAAGAAAAUUAUUGACACGUUUGAAGCACAAGUCAAAUGUCUUGAUAUUUUUCUUUCAGAUGUAAAAUUUUGCCUUCAAAUUCUGAUUUAUAAUUUAUUAAACUAGAGACAUAAUACCAUAAAACUAAGUUUGUUUCACUCUGUUCGGGGAAAAUGUUGAUAUCUUUGGAGCACUAGUCAAAUAUAUCGAUAUUUUUUCGAUCAAAUGUCCAUUAAAGAAAAAUUUAUGAAGCUUUCUACAUAAUACAAUAAUUUAGUUUGUUUCACUCUGAUAAGAAAAUGUUGAUGCAUUUGGAGCACAAGACAAAUGCUUAAUAUUUUUCUAUCAGAAGGACAAUACUAAUUCUGUUGUAAAAAUUGAAAAGCUCACCACAAAUUUGGAAGCACAAGUCAAAUUUCUGAUGGCUUUUUAAUUUUAUUUUGUACAACAAUUGCAUUUAAAUCUACAGAGAACAUGCUUUUGAAUGUUAAGUCACAUAUUUGAAGCAUAAGACAACUUAUUGUAAGUCUAUUUUGGAAUUUGAUUUGGAGUUCAUGUCAAAAGCAUGUCUGAAAUACAUUUGGGAAAAGUAUGCAAAAAUAUUGAGCAAUGAAAAAAGGCUCAUAUUUGAAGCUUCAGUUUUUAAUAUCUUGUUUUCCUCUGACAUUUUAUAGGUAGUUUUUUAAUUAACCCCUUGAGUUGUUACAAAACCACAGUCUAUGCAAAAAGAAAGUCAUAUAUAAGCACAAGGCAAGUAUCUCUUUUGUUACAGUUCUUUUUAUUAAACAUUUCAGUUUUUUCACAGUGAAAUAAUCUAAGCUUUAAAUAGAUAUAAGAAGAUGUGGUAUGAGUGUCAAUGAGACCACUCUCCAUCCAAGUCAAAAUUUAUAAAAGUAAACCAUUAUAGGUCAAAGUACGGUCUUCAACACGGAGCCUUGGCUCACACGGAACAGCAAGCUAAAAAGGGCCCCAAAAAUUACUAGUGUAAAAGUCUUUCUUUGAAAAAUACCAAUCGUUUUAAAAUAUGCAAUGUUUAUGUUUUAAGAGAGAAAGUCACAUAUUUGAAAGCACAAGGCAAAUAUCUGGCUAAUUUCUUAACUGUUCUGAUUUUUGCAAUUUCAAAUAUUUCGGUUCACUGUCUGUAGGCAAACAAGGAAACUAUUUAAGCUCUGUCGUGAGUGUAGCAUUUUAGAUAUUUGGCAGAAUAUCGGCAUACUCAGAUGUCUAUUUAAGAAGCAUGCCACACAUUUAUUAAGCACAAGGUAAACGUCUGACUGCUUCUUGAUAGAUUUCACUGUCACAUGAAUUAUUACUAAUAGAAUAAUCAAAAACUCCAUUAAGCAUAUUAUGAAAUAAGAUGGAGUGAUCUCUCGAUUGGUUUCAAGUAAAAUUUAUAGUUAUGAAGCACUAUGACUGAGUGUUGUUAAUUUGAAAAUAAGAGUCGAUAAAUUGAAAUAAAUCUAUGGUUUAACAACUGGUUCAAAAAGUUAGUGAUGAUGUCAAUAAAAAAAAACACCAUAAAUUGGAAUAAAUCUAUGGUAUAACAACUGGUUCAAAAAGUAAGUGAUAAUGUCAUUAAAAAAAAACACCAUAAAUCUCAUAUCAUGGGUAGUUUUAAACAGUUACUUUUUAGCAAAGCAUCGUUUGCUUGGCAUCAAUUGUUUUUCAAUGCUUAAAUGGUCACAUCCUGGAGCACAAGGCAGGAUCUGACUUGAGAGCUUUGAUUAUUUUCAUUUAUUUGGUAAAGUAAGGUACCAGGGUAAACUGGAUCCUCUAAAAAUAAAAAAAUGAUUUUAAAAAUAUAUAUCUAGAUUAGUAUCAAUAGUUAUAUUUUUAUUUAUAUUGAAACAUUGUUAUAAUUUGAUAGUUGAUAGUAUAUAGUUUUAUUUCUACAUAAACGGCAGCAUUAACUACUCAGGUUUGUUUUAUUUCAAUUUGUUUUUGUGAUGUACAUCUUUUAAUGGCUAAAUUAAGUACUCAAAAGUUUUUUUAUUUGAAUUUAUUUAUGUGAUGUAUUGUGAAUGUUUAAUAAUGAAAUAACUUGAAGGUGAGAAUUGUUUGUACCAGAACAAGAUUUGUAGCAAUCUGUGUUUAUUAUUUCAUUAAAUUAUUCAUAACCAUA